AAUGUAAGUUCUCCAUCUCACAUCUCUCAUUAGAGACAGAUCUGUUCGGAGAAUGGAUUGCUGCUAUGCCGGUGAAUAUAUGGUGAAUUUCAAAAUCAAUUUUGGCUAGAAUUGAAUGGAUUUAUUUAUAUCUCUUUCCAAGGAAAGUAAUUGGAAAUCCCUAGCUUGUUGAACUUAACGUCAUACAGAAUUUCGCAAUCUAUGUAUUUCAGAAAUAGGCCAGAAGAUGGAUUGGAAGAUGAAGGUCGAGUUUUGAUUGUUCUAGACGAUGUCUGGUUUCUCUCGGUUCUUGAGCAGUUGGUUUUUAGGGUUCAUGGAGUGGAGCAGUUGAAGGGAGAUGAAGCAAUUUUUUUGUUUUGCCAAUAUGGUUUUGAACAGUAUUGGCAUCAAGACGGAAGUAGGAGAAGAACCGGAUGAGGUAGAGGCUGAGGCCUCUUCUUUGUUAUCCAGGCAGAGUAUGAUCAGAUUGGAGAGAAGUUUCUAUUUUGAGAUACUUUUAUGAAUUUUAGAGGAUUAUUAUGAAAUUGAAACUAUAAUAUUAUUAUUAUUUAUUUAUGACAUGGAGCCUAUGUGGAAGCGACGUUCGAUGACACGUUAUUAAUGUUAAGUUUGAUCGUUAAGUUAAUAGUUUAAUAUUAAAUAUGUAUUAUAAUAGGCAUUUUUAAUAAGUUAUGUUAUUCUAGAUCAAGACUCAAUAGGUUCGACUUCUUGAGAUCAUUAUUUCUUAAAUCUAAGAUGUGGGUGAUGUAAUGUUUAUUGAGCUCCUUAUAUAUGUAGGGAGAUGGAAUAAUCUUGAGUUUGACGGUCAACUAUAUCGAAUAACUAAAGAAGCUCG
rnacentral:lncRNA from 1 species